GGGGGGCGGCUCCCCCUCCGCAGCUCGCCCGCUGGCCCGGCCGGCGCCCAGGGGACUUCCGCAGCCUCUUUCCUCAGCCACCUGGUGCUUGUUCAGUGGGUCCAUGUGGCAGCAAUGGAGGAUAUGCAUGGACCAACCAAGAAGGACAUCCCCUCAUCAAGCUGACCUGGCUACUGCCAUUCCUGAGUGUUUAACCUUCUGACAACAGAGGCCCACACUGACUACCCCGCAAUUUGCCAUCAUCCCCACGGGGACCAGCCAGCCACCUGUCAGAAGAUCAGCCCUGAGCUAACAUUCGUGCCCAUCUUCCUCUACUUUAUAUGUGGGUCACCUACCACAGCAUGUCUUGCCAGGCGGUGCCAUGUCCACACCCAGGAUCCGACUGGGAGAACCCAGAGCUGCUGAAGAGGAACGUGCGCACUUAACUACUGCGUCACCGGGCGGCCCUUUCCAGUCUUUUUAAGAUGGGGACUGAAGAUGGCUGCCACUGGGCUCAGCAAAGAGGCUGAUUUGUAGAAGACCAAAGUGUCCAGGAUUAAAAGUCAUAUCUAGGUGAGACCUUUGGCUGUGGUCAUUUGCACAUGAAGCCAGUCAUCCGGGAGCCUGCCAAGCGUUUGAAAGAAUUAUAUUACCAAAGAAACUACCAGCUUGGCCUGCAAAAAUCUGUGAGGACUCAAUCCUUGAAGCCACUCCCAGCCUCCAAAACCUGCACCAGUAGGAAGCAGGCUCUGAAAAUUGUGCAGCCCCGAUAGGCCGUCUCCCCCUCAAGGCCCACCUCUCCUUGUCUGUGAAGGAUAAUGAAAAAGGAAGCACCUCCCAGAGGGCAGAGCUCGGGGCUAUCAGACAGGUGCACUCGAGAACUAAUUCUACUGCCAGAGAGAGAACUCUUCCCUGUGCCUGCCCAGAGGACGUUAUUGAUUGCACUGGACCAGCAUCUGCUGUGUGUUUCAUGUCCUCUAAUUUUCAGAAUGGUCGUCUUUAUUGUAAUUAUACUAUUUCUACUCUACUACUAUAUUUAAAGAUAGUUUGUCUUUUAGUUUACAGCUUGUACCUACAUCUGGACCUGAUGGAUAGUUGUAAACUUUGAGGGUAUCGUCUUUGAGCUGGGCACAGUGGGGUUUGGGGGUUUCUGUAUAGGUGAGCGUGGGACGGUUUAUACGUGGGAAGAAGGGUAUAGAUAUAGGGUGACUGUUUACUUUAUCAUCCAAACUAGGACAUUUUUAAAAAAUCUUUAUUUUUAAUACUACUUACUCGUAUGUUAACGUAAGUAUGCAUGCGUGUUUAUUUUAAUAGCAUUAUUUAGGUAUAAUUGACAUAGAAAAAUACACAUAUUUGAAGUAUACAAAUUGAGAAGUUCUGACAUAUGUGUAUAACCAUGAAACUGUCACCACAAUCAAGAUAAUGAACAUAUCUAUCACCGCUUCCAAAGCUUCCUACGUCUCUUGUCUCUCUCUCCUAUCCCUCCUUGUACUCCCCUCACCAGGCAACCACUGAUCUGCUUCUGUCAUUAUACAUUAGUUUGCACUUUCUAGAAUGUUAUACAAAUUCUAUAUAAAUUUAUACAUAAAUUAUAUAAUUUUAAAAUAUAAUAAAUUUAUAAAAUAUAUAAAGAUAAAUUUAUAUGUAAAUACAUUAUAUACUCUUUUGUCUGGCUUCUUUCACUCAACAUAAGCAUUU
rnacentral:lncRNA from 1 species